UCGGGAAUUUUGGACAAUGGGGGCAACCCUGAUCCAGCCAUUCCGCGUGAGUGAAGAAGGCCUUCGGGUUGUAAAGCUCUUUCGGACGGAACGAAACGGUUAGCGUGAAUAGCGCUGACUAAUGACGGUACCGUAAGAAGAAGCACCGGCUAACUACGUGCCAGCAGCCGCGGUAAUACGUAGGGUGCGAGCGUUAAUCGGAAUUACUGGGCGUAAAGCGUGCGCAGGCGGCGGCACAAGUCAGGUGUGAAAUCCCCGGGCUUAACCUGGGAAUUGCGCUUGAAACUAGGUCGCUUGAGUGUGGCAGAGGGGGGUGGAAUUCCACGUGUAGCAGUGAAAUGCGUAGAGAUGUGGAGGAACACCGAUGGCGAAGGCAGCCCCCUGGGUCAACACUGACGCUCAUGCACGAAAGCGUGGGGAGCAAACAGGAUUAGAUACCCCCGUAGUCCCUGAGCGGGCUGGCAAGGCGCAU
rnacentral:rRNA from 1 species